rnacentral:rRNA from 1 species
CCUACGGGAGGCAGCAGUGAGGAAUAUUGGUCAAUGGACGAGAGUCUGAACCAGCCAAGUAGCGUGAAGGAUGACUGCCCUAUGGGUUGUAAACUUCUUUUAUAUGGGAAUAAAAUGAUCCACGUGUGGGAUUUUGUAUGUACCAUAUGAAUAAGGAUCGGCUAACUCCGUGCCAGCAGCCGCGGUAAUACGGAGGAUCCGAGCGUUAUCCGGAUUUAUUGGGUUUAAAGGGAGCGUAGGUUGUUUGUUAAGUCAGGUGUGAAAGUUUGGGGCUCAACCGUAACAUUGCAGUUGAAACUGGCAGUCUGGAGUACAGUAGAGGUGGGCGGAAUUCGUGGGGUAGCGGUGAAAUGCUUAGAUAUCACGAAGAACUCCGAUUUCGAAGGCAGCUCACUGGACUGCAACUGACACUGAGGCUCGAAAGUGUGGGUAUCAAACAGGAUUAGAUACCCUGGUAGUC